rfam:Colletotrichum orchidophilum strain IMI 309357 Scaffold_43.1, whole genome shotgun sequence.
GGCCUGCUGGCGAAAUGGCAUCGCGUCACAUUUCGGCUCCCUAGUCACUCUGUGAAGAUUGUAGGUUCGAUCCCUACGUAGGUCG